rnacentral:misc_RNA from 1 species
UGCAAACACUAUGAAAUGAUCUCUUAUUGUUUUUAUUGACCUGGAGAACUAGAUAGGAAAAGUGUUUUAAGACUGGAAUGAACUUCUCAUCUCAGUCCAUAAAGUUAGAAGUGAGAAAUCAGCCAGUGUUUUCUUUUUAGAACUAGGUGUUGAACAUGAUGAACUUGCAUUGUGUGGAAAAUCAUUUAUUCAGAUGUUUUCAUUUGCCCAUUUCAUUUUGAUUUGCAGCCCUUGUUCCUUUGAAAUAUUGUAACUUGUAAG